ensembl:lncRNA
CUGAAAUUUCACAAUGUUAUAAACUAUUAUGACCUCAAUAAAAAAAUCUGUAAUCUGUCCAUCAAAGUCAAAAUGAUAAACUGAAGAAAAUACAAUUUACAUCUUGAAGGGCUAUUUUCCCUUCAAACCCUUGUUUGUCAAUCAGAAACCAAAAACAGUGGAGAAACAGGCAAAGACAAGGACAGUUCAGAGAAGACAAACAGCUCUUAAACAUGGAAUAAUGCUUAAGCUCACUCAAAAGAAAAGCAAAUUAAAACUUCAGCAAGAGACUAUUUUCCAUUUAUCAGUUUGGCAAAGGUAAAAAAUCUGGUACCUCACUGAUUGGUGAGUGUUCUGGAAAACCACGUUUACAUGCACUGCUAGAGGUGGGGGCGUGCAACAUGGGCAUCGCCUCUAGAGAGGGACAUUUGGUGAAGAUCAUCAAAAUGACAAUUCUGACUUGGCUUUUGGCUGAGCAAUCCAUCUAGGAAUUCAUUCUACAGAUAUCUUUUCAUGUUUGCAUAAGGAUUUCCUUAAAGGUCUUAGUGACACUCUGUGGCACUGAGUGGAAUAGCACAAUUCGGGAAACAAAUGGCGUCAAUAAGGAACAAGUUACCUUGCGGUGCAUCCUUAAAGAGGAAUACUAUCCAGCUGUCAAAAGGAAUGUAUGGAUAAGGACCCAUCUUCAAAAUAUAUUAAAUACACAACAGGAUGCAUUUGAGUUUUCAAAAAAGGGGGUGGGACAUAUAUGCAUAUCUGGUGUGGUCUUUGUUCUAACACCACUUCUCACACCCACUGUGUUUUUUUCCAGAUACCAAAUACAUGUGUUUUUUCCACACCAAUUCUCCAACUCUCAAUAUCAACUAGGUGCCUACAAUUCCCUUCAAUUCUGAUGCUAAUUCCCAGAGUUAGUGCAGACUCCCAGGUUAACGGCUCAGUCCCAUGAGAUACCCCCAGCACAAAUGGGAUGCCCAGCAGACCCACACUCCUGUCUGGCCAACUACAAAUUUGGGGGUGCUCACGACCCCAUCCUCAGGUUUAUAAUUUGCUAGAAGACUCACAGAACUCAGGAAAGUGCUUUAUUUACUAUUCCAGUUUAGGAUACAGGAUGCAAUUUAGGAGCAGCCAAAUAGAAGAGGUGCACAGGGCAAGGCAUGGGGGGAGGAGCGCAGAGCAUCCUUGCCCUCUCCAGGGAGCCACCCUCCCAGCACAUCUCUGUUCACCAACCCAGAAACUCUCUAAAUCUCCAGCCGGGACCCCCUCCCCUCCCUGGAGGUGGUGGGGGAGCUGAAAGUUCCCCCCCUCUAGAUUGGUCUUUGUGGGGACCAGCCCCCACCCUGAAGCCCUGUAGGUGCCCUACUUGAGUCACCUCAUUAGCAUAAACUCAGCUGUGGUUGAAAGGGGCUCAUUAUAAAUAACAAAAGACACCCCUGUCACUCAGGAGACUCCAAGGGUUUUAGGAGCUCUGUGCCAGGAACCAGGGACAAAGACCAAAUCUAUAUCUGUUUUAUUACACCACAUUUGGUUAUGGAUAUUUAGAUUCUUUCUCUGGAAGGACAUAAACUGUUACUGUCAUUGCUUCCAGGGAGGGGAACUGGGUGGCUGGAGUCAGGGGCAGGAGAUGACUCUUGGUUCAAAAUUCAAAAUGUACAUGUGAACAUACUAGCUAUUUGAAAAACAAAUUAAAAAUACUUCAUAGUCGUUGUCUUGGCUUCUAAGGUCCGCGAUCUCCAGGCUUUCUUACCACCUCGCUCCUCGGGAGCCACGGAUAGAGCACACAGGGGAUUCUGCCAACGGACCCUUGUGGACUUGCCCAACCUCCUCCACCUUCCUUCCACCUCUCUCCACACCCCCUGCCCUCUGGGAAGCAGUUCCCUCUGCCGGUAACGCCCUAGCUCCCUGAGCUCUGUUCCUGAGACACUGUUCUAAACCCUUCCAGGGAUUAGCUCAUUCAAACCUCCCAACACCCAUUUUAGUAGAAUGCCCAUUUUACAGAUGAGGCAAUGGAGGAGAUGAAAUUACAUGCCAAGGUCGCACAGGAACCUGGAAUUUGAACUUAAGCUGUCUGGCAUCCGAGACUACAAUCUUAGUCAGUACUCUAGUCUAGACUGUCUUUCCAGGAGUGUCCUUCCCCACAACCGCCCCCUCGCCCCCAUGGACAAACCUGAUAUCAUCCAGGCCCAGUUCCAAUGCCACCCUCUGGAAAGCCUUCCCUGCUCUCUCAUUAACAAAUUUACUUUUGGGGGGGAGGGGCUGUAGUAUAAUAAUUAUAUUAUGUUUGAUUGCGGCCCAGGGCAAGGACUGUGUCUUAUUUCUGAACAGGCCUGGCCCUGCAGGCAUUUCUAGAAUGACUAUAGAGGUGUUUCCAUUUCAGCUUUUUUGUCUACAAGGCUCCAGGCCC